CGUAGUGUCGAGUUUUGUUCACGCUGUCGACCUUUACUGCGUUACCUCGCAUUGUGUGUUGUGUGUUGCGGUUACUGACGUAAGCGCAAGUUCUUCACUGAGUAUGAUGCGCGGCAGCGUGCAAAUAGUCACCAGAUGCCGGCCGUGCGACUCCGUUCUCUGCGACUCCUUUGUUCGGUGUGAUCGAGGGACGUGAUUCAUGCUUUGGAGACCCUCUUUAGACCGUGCCCUCAUCAAAUGUUUCCACACAUCAGUGAGUAGCAGCACCGCAAUCCUUACUCGACGACACGCUCUGUGGGCCUGGAAAAUGCCUUGACGUUCGAGCACUUCGGGAGCUAUACCGGCGGACAGCCGGACGCGGGUAGCUUGGCCGUUCCUUGCUCUGCACAUCGCUUGAAAACCGGCGGUCAUCCUGCAGCGUACGCUGCCAGCGUGCUUUCUUGCCAGAGCCGCCUCCCCUGCUGGUGAUGACCAUAUGCAGCCAAUGCUGAUGUGAACCUGAGUGAUGAACAAAUGCAGAUCUGCAAAGGAGCUGUCCUGAAGCACCAUGCUUACUCAAGUCAUGCAGCGAGAGUCAGCAUGCCUGGAAAAGUACUU